rnacentral:rRNA from 1 species
GACAGAGGAUGCAAGCGUUAUCCGGAAUGAUUGGGCGUAAAGCGUCUGUAGGUGGCUUUUUAAGUCCGCCGUCAAAAUCCCAGGGCUCAACCCUGGACAGGCGGUGGAAACUACCAAGCUGGAGUACGGUAGGGGCAGAGGGAAUUUCCGGUGGAGCGGUGAAAUGCGUAGAGAUCGGAAAAGAACACCAACGGCGAAAAGACUCUGCUGGGCCGACACU